UUUGAUCGUAAGAUGAUAAUGUCAAAAAAUUAUAAAAUUUUAAAAAUACUUUAAUAUUUUAAAUUAUGUUUAACAGUAUGGAUUGUCGAUCCGUAAAUUCUAUCAUUAAAAGCUAUGAAUAAGAAGAUGAUCGACUUAUAAUAGUGUAGUAGUCAGAAUAUUACUAUAUAUAACUAUAGUCCGGCUAUGGCUCUUUUAAAAGCACCAAUCACUUGGUGUUUAUAAGUUUUCCGCUAUUAGAUCUACCUGCGUAAUUAUUUUCACCUGUUAGAUUAUACUAUUUAACCAACCACAUUAUGAUCUAACCCUGAU
rnacentral:lncRNA from 1 species